AUGGACGAGGAGUUGAACCCAGUUUAUGGAGUAGUCUUGCAAAGUGAAGUCCUGUUCCACACUAACAGAAGCAACACCAAAAGCACUGCUGCAAGGAGCCGCCGGGAGCUCCAGGGUGAAGAGACCUGCCUCCCCUGGGAGACCUCUGCUAAAGGUGAAGACCUCCAAGCAGACCAGGCAGAUUUAGCAGGAGCUCAGGAAUUUUACAUCAAGGAGGAAGAUCCUUUGAACAGGAGAGCAACUUCUUCUUUAUAUUUUCUGGAUGUUACUUUUGGAGAGCUGGGCCUGGAGAGAAGCAAUAGUCCCUGGUUCUGCUUCACUGCAGCGCUGUGUAGUGAAGGAAGGCGAGGAUCAAUACUGUGUUCAUGUGAGUCUUUUGGGAGGGAUUUUCAUAGUGUCUUUGGACACUGUUUCUUCUUUCCCCCUCUAGCUUUCUGAAGGGAAUAUAAAUUAUAGCAAAUUAUUUCAGCAAAUUAAUCUCAAAUACUCUGGCAUUAGCUCCCAACUGUAAAUGAUAACAUUGUCUAAAAGAAUAAAAACCAGUCAGCUGGGUCA
rnacentral:lncRNA from 1 species